UGCUCAAGCACUCGCUGCAGCGGCAAGAAAAAAAGAGACAAUCCACAGAAAUUUCAUCGCUUGCGCUCUUCGUAAACUAUCGUGCUGUAACGUCAACAGGGGCCAGACUUCUCGACUGAAGAUGCGUGUUGUGUGUUUUGCAGGUCUCUUUUUUGGUGCAUCUUUUUUUUGCCACGAUCUCGAAAUUUUUCCAUCGUGCGUGCACGCAGUCGCAACUUUACCGUAGCUGCGCUGCUGCCGGCUGCCCGUUUGCCCUUUCUUUUCCGACUUCCCACAGAACAAGAGUAAUUUACGAUCUUUCUGACCAGCUAGCUAGCCGUCUUGCGAUUGUGGCACCGACGACGCACACCCACGGACACUGACACAUGUACGCUGAGUGCCGCAGAAGAUCCCUCUCUCUUUCUUGCGCGUUUCUUGUUCGUGGUCUUGCGCCUUUACCGGGUCUGUGAGGGUGUCUACUUGUUUCUUUUCCUCGCUUCGUUUCUCUCUCCUCUUCCGCUGUCCCGUCGCCCCUCUCAG
rnacentral:misc_RNA from 1 species